CAUAUCAAUAAGCGGAGGAAAAGAAACUAACAAGGAUUCCCCUAGUAACUGCGAGUGAAGCGGGAAAAGCUCAAAUUUAAAAUCUGGUGGUCUUUGGCCAUCCGAGUUGUAAUUUAGAGAAGCGUUUUCUGCGCUGGGCCAUGCACAAGUCUCCUGGAAUGGAGCGUCAUAGAGGGUGAGAAUCCCGUCUUUGGCAUGGAUAUAACCAGGGCUUUUGUGAUGCGCUCUCAAAGAGUCGAGUUGUUUGGGAAUGCAGCUCAAAAUGGGUGGUGAACUCCAUCUAAAGCUAAAUAUUGGCGAGAGACCGAUAGCGAACAAGUACCGUGAGGGAAAGAUGAAAAGCACUUUGGAAAGAGAGUGAAACAGUACGUGAAAUUGUUGAAAGGGAAACGCUUAAAGUCAGUCGCGUUGUCCAAGACUCAGCCUUGCCUUGGCUUGGUGUAUUUCUUGGUCGACGGGUCAGCAUCGAUUUUGACCCUUGGAUAAUGGUGAGGGAAAUGUGACACCUUUUAGGUGUGUUAUAGUCUCUUGUCACAUGUGAGGGUUAGGAUCGAGGAACUCAGCAUGCACUUUUUGGGUGUCGGGACUUUUGUCCACGAUACAUGCUUAGGAUGUUGGCGUAAUGGCUU
rnacentral:rRNA from 1 species